rnacentral:rRNA from 1 species
UACGGGGGGGGCAAGCGUUGUUCGGAAUUACUGGGCGUAAAGGGCUCGUAGGUUGCCAACUAAGUCGGACGUGAAAUCCCUCAGCUUAACUGGGGAACUGCGUCCGAUACUGGAUGGCUUGAGUUUGGGAGAGGGAUGCGGAAUUCCAGGUGUAGCGGUGAAAUGCGUAGAUAUCUGGAGGAACACCGGUGGCGAAGGCGGCAUCCUGGACCAACACUAACACUGAGGAGCGAAAGCCAGGGGAGCAAACAGG